GCCAGGCACGGUGGUGGGCGCCUGUAGUCCCAGCUACUCGGGAGGCUGAGGCAGGAGAAUUGGCGUGAACCCGGGAGGUGGAGCUUGCAGUGAGCCGAGAUCGCUCCACUGCACUCCAGCCUGNNNNNNNNNNCAGGCUGGAGUGCAGUGGAGCGAUCUUGGCUCACAGCAACCUUCACCUCCCGUGUUCAAGAAAUUCUCCUGCCUCAG
rnacentral:SRP_RNA from 1 species